rnacentral:rRNA from 2 species
GAACGCUGGCGGCGUGCCUAAUACAUGCAAGUCGAACGAACUCUGGUAUUGAUUGGUGCUUGCAUCAUGAUUUACAUUUGAGUGAGUGGCGAACUGGUGAGUAACACGUGGGAAACCUGCCCAGAAGCGGGGGAUAACACCUGGAAACAGAUGCUAAUACCGCAUAACAACUUGGACCGCAUGGUCCGAGUUUGAAAGAUGGCUUCGGCUAUCACUUUUGGAUGGUCCCGCGGCGUAUUAGCUAGAUGGUGGGGUAACGGCUCACCAUGGCAAUGAUACGUAGCCGACCUGAGAGGGUAAUCGGCCACAUUGGGACUGAGACACGGCCCAAACUCCUACGGGAGGCAGCAGUAGGGAAUCUUCCACAAUGGACGAAAGUCUGAUGGAGCAACGCCGCGUGAGUGAAGAAGGGUUUCGGCUCGUAAAACUCUGUUGUUAAAGAAGAACAUAUCUGAGAGUAACUGUUCAGGUAUUGACGGUAUUUAACCAGAAAGCCACGGCUAACUACGUGCCAGCAGCCGCGGUAAUACGUAGGUGGCAAGCGUUGUCCGGAUUUAUUGGGCGUAAAGCGAGCGCAGGCGGUUUUUUAAGUCUGAUGUGAAAGCCUUCGGCUCAACCGAAGAAGUGCAUCGGAAACUGGGAAACUUGAGUGCAGAAGAGGACAGUGGAACUCCAUGUGUAGCGGUGAAAUGCGUAGAUAUAUGGAAGAACACCAGUGGCGAAGGCGGCUGUCUGGUCUGUAACUGACGCUGAGGCUCGAAAGUAUGGGUAGCAAACAGGAUUAGAUACCCUGGUAGUCCAUACCGUAAACGAUGAAUGCUAAGUGUUGGAGGGUUUCCGCCCUUCAGUGCUGCAGCUAACGCAUUAAGCAUUCCGCCUGGGGAGUACGGCCGCAAGGCUGAAACUCAAAGGAAUUGACGGGGGCCCGCACAAGCGGUGGAGCAUGUGGUUUAAUUCGAAGCUACGCGAAGAACCUUACCAGGUCUUGACAUACUAUGCAAAUCUAAGAGAUUAGACGUUCCCUUCGGGGACAUGGAUACAGGUGGUGCAUGGUUGUCGUCAGCUCGUGUCGUGAGAUGUUGGGUUAAGUCCCGCAACGAGCGCAACCCUUAUUAUCAGUUGCCAGCAUUAAGUUGGGCACUCUGGUGAGACUGCCGGUGACAAACCGGAGGAAGGUGGGGAUGACGUCAAAUCAUCAUGCCCCUUAUGACCUGGGCUACACACGUGCUACAAUGGAUGGUACAACGAGUUGCGAACUCGCGAGAGUAAGCUAAUCUCUUAAAGCCAUUCUCAGUUCGGAUUGUAGGCUGCAACUCGCCUACAUGAAGUCGGAAUCGCUAGUAAUCGCGGAUCAGCAUGCCGCGGUGAAUACGUUCCCGGGCCUUGUACACACCGCCCGUCACACCAUGAGAGUUUGUAACACCCAAAGUCGGUGGGGUAACCUUUUAGGAACCAGCCGCCUAAGGUGGGACAGA